UCAUUAUAUAUACAUUGGAUA
ensembl:piRNA 21ur-4075 ncRNA